UGAAUAUGCAAAUGAGCACCUGUAGGCCUACAUGCAGAUGAGCAGCCCAUAGGAACUGCUAAAACAGAAAGGCUCGGGGAUCCAGGCCUGCCCGUUAGUUUUAUCAUUUUAAACAGCCGCACGACCUCAACAUCUUCUGGGACGUCUCCACCGCCAACGUGCGCCUGCAACGAGAGCUGCGGCGGCACCGGGAAACGGCAGCCUCUGAGGCGGAAACAGUCUCAAUGGGAAACGGAAAUGCCUCUCCCGGGGCCGCGAAGGGCACUGGGAGAGCGAGUCCUGAUUAUGCCACGGUGACGAUCUAGGAGGCAGAAGCGGAAACACCCCUCACGGAGUCGCCAAGGACUCUGGGAAAGCGAGUUCUGAAGACGCCACGGUGACUGUUGACGCGGAGGAAACGGCCUCCGCGGAUUUGGGGAUAUUAUAAGCUAAGACUUGGCUUCCUGAUGGAGCAGGUAGUGGGGCAUGAGUGCUGUCUGCAAGGUCACCAACUAGCCUCCAAUUUUAUGAACUCCAGUGUGCUAAGUACACGGCUGAUGAUGGUGCAGGGCUACUGCCGGUCCCUAGAGAGCGGAGACCUCUGGUCACUGAAUAAGGAGGACACAUCAGAAGUUGAACCUGUGCUAAUAAAUAACUGGAAGAAGAAAUUCCGCUAAGUCAAGGAAAGAACUUUCCAGUCCUCCAAGUGGGGCUUCAACAGGACCCAAUCCUCCAGCAGCUUCUUUUUCUCCUGCCUCAGCAUGCCCACUUUCUUCUCUAGCUGAGUCUGUUGUAUCAGGAGCUGGCUGUGCAGACCACUGGAGACAUGCCCUGCAUAGUAAGGCCCUGCCAGCCUCCUCCUGCUACCCCUGCCUCCAGGAACCAGCACCCCGAAUGGCCUCGUAGUUCCUCGAAGACUUAGCCAAGAGUCUGAUACAGCCUUGACAGCUGCACUCAAAGCCAAAAUGAGAGAACAGCUAAUAUUGGAAAGUAUCAAACUACUAAGGAAAACUCCAAAACCCAAAAGGAUCCAUGUCUCUUCAAUAGGAAGAGGAAUCUCCCAACUGUCCUUAACUGUCCAUAGUAGUGGGGAAACAUCAGCAAGUGGUGGACAAAACACCCUCCAGGGGAAGACAGGCGACCCAAGGUGAGUAUGUUCUAGCCAUAGGUUCCACAGGCACCGUAUCUGUAAAGCCUGCUCCUGAGCUCCAGAUGCCCAAGGCUGCCUGACGUUCCCCUCACACUGCAGAUCCCUUUUCUACCUAAAGCCUCAUGAGACUCUAGGACAAGGUGACAGGGGUAACUGUCUCUUUCACACUUAUCAAAACUGAGUCUAUAAGACCGAAGUCCAGCGUGCUAAGAAGCUGAAAGACUGGAUCCAGAGUUAGGGACUCUUCAUCCAGAGAAAAAGAAAGGCAGACUGGCAACUUUUGGGGUCUGUGACAAGAUGGGCCCUUACCGAUAGAAGACUGUCUCCUUGGUCAGCUCACUGAACUUCUCUGAGGCACUUGCCGAUAGAAGACUGUCUCCUUGGUCAGCUCAUUGAACUUCUCUGAGGCCUCGGUGUUCUCUUUCUCCAAACUCUUCACUUCUGACAUGACCUGAUCAUGUUUCAACUUCAGCUUUUCAUAGAAAGGAUUUGGCUUGUGAUAGGCCUAGAAACAGGAGGAAAGACCCCAUGAACACCGGCCUCAAGGAUCACGGGAACUCAAGUUGUAUCCUGGUUCACCACAUACAUCCCUGUGGAUGCCACAUUCUGCCUCCUGUGGCCAGGGUCUUCCUGCUGAUUUUAAAUUGGUAUCUUGGCCCCAGGACUGCUGUAGUUCAAUGAUCUUAUACCCUGUAAAGAUUUGUCACUUGUAUUGGUUUAAUAAAAUGCUGAUUGGCUGGUAGCCAAGCAGGAAGUAUAGGCGGGGUGGCCAGAAUAGGAGA